CCUACGGGCGGCAGCAGUGGGGGAUAUUGGACAAUGGGGGAAACCCUGAUCCAGCGACGCCGCGUGAGUGAAGAAGUAUUUCGGUAUGUAAAGCUCUGUCAGCAGGGAAGAAAGAAAUGACGGUACCUGACCAAGAAGCACCGGCUAACUACGUGCGAGCAGGCGCGGUAAUACGUAGGGGGCAAGCGUUAUCCGGAGUUACUGGGUGUAAAGGGAGCGUAGACGGUGAUGCAAGUCUGGAGUGAAAGUCCGGGGCCCAACCCCCGGACUGCUGUGGAAACUGGGUAACUUGAGUGCAGGCGAGGUAAGCGGAAUUCAUAGUGUAGCGGUGAAAUGCGUAGAUAUUAGGAGGAACACCAGUGGCGAAGGCGGCUUACUGGACUGUAACUGACGUUGAGGCUCGAAAGCGUGGGGAGCAAACAGGAUUAGAUACCCGGGUAGUC
rnacentral:rRNA from 1 species